rnacentral:tRNA from 1 species
GCGGGUGUAAUUCAGCGGUAGAAUGUCACUUUUCCAAAGUGAACGUCAGGGGUUCAACUCCCCUCACCCGCUCCA